rnacentral:lncRNA from 1 species
AAAACAGAAAGAAUCAAUUUCCCAUUACAAAAUUUCUGUUACAAUUGGAACUUCCAAAACUACACAAACUUAUAUCCCAAACUUCCGAAAUGGAAUCACAUGCUUAAUAACUAACCUAAUCUCAGAGCCUAUAUAAAUCCUAGAGUUUUAUAAGAAGAGGGCACAAAUUUUACAGAGAAAAAACCCUAAAUAUGUUGUCUUGCCACCACCCUAAACCCUCACCAAAGCUCCAUCCAAAGACAUUUAGGGAUUCACCUUGAAUUACUAAAGGACCUGAGCUUAACCUCCAUUAAUCCUCCAAGAGGUACCUCACAACCAUAAACAGAAAAAUAUAAAGAAAAUUAGAAGAAGAAGCAAUUAGAAAAGGAGAAGGAAAAGCGAACAAAGGAAAACGAGAGAAAAACAUCAAAUUUUACCUUUUGGUACCGGAGAGAGCCUCGUCUCCGUUGGUAGGUCUUUUGCUUUCCACCCUUUGUUUUUUUCAUGAUGUGUUUAGGUUUGAUUGUUUAGGAUUUCUGUUUGAUUUAUGUGAUUGUAGGUGAUGCAUGUGUUUUUGUGAGGGGUUUGGUAUUUGGUUUGAGUUAGUUUUAGGUUUGAACAAAGGUGGAUUUAGAUUUUAGGGCUUGGAAGUUG